UUGUCAUGAUACAUUAAUUUUAUCAAACUGCAAAUGGUUGUUAUUAUAUAAAUUCAUACAGCUCGCAUGUAUAUUUUUCAAUAAUAUGAGGUAUUAUUCAGACAAGGCUAAAAAAAACAAAUUACACCUCUCAUUAGACAUUAUCUUUACUAGAUAUUGCAAUUUUGCAAGAGCAAGAAAUUUUGAAACAACUAAUUUUCCUGGGCUAUUCUAUAUCAAUUAUCAACUAUUACUAAGUGCCAUGGCUGGAGAAUUUAUGACCCGUGUAGUUGAAGACGAAUUUGUAAACGCAUUCGCUUAUGAAAUUUACACUGUAGCUCCUUUCAACCAGAGAGCCUGCAACCUACUAAGAAUUUACAUUUCUCACCCUCAACCCCCACACAAGGUACAUAUAGGGAAAAAAUGGAAAAUGAAACCAAAAUGGCAAAAAAAAUUACAAAAUCACAAUCACUCCCUAUUCUCUCCUACUAUGCCAGUCCACAGCUUUCCUUCAAUGCUUUUAUAUUAG